GGGUAAUUCAAACUUGCCAAGCGGCCAUGACUCAAGCAUUUCGCCCAGCAUUCAUGUUUUUCCUUUAAAAAGAUUAAAUUCUUGUUAUGCUGGUUUAGAUGAAGGUAUUAAGUGCCAAAGAAUGAACCUCAUUUUGUUGGAACUUGAAUAUCAUCAUCUAAAGCAAGCCUAAAAAAAAGUUAUUCUUUUCAAAGGAAAAAUAUGAAUGCGGGGUGAAAUGCUUGAGUCCUGUUGUUUUGCAAGUUUGAAUUUACC
rnacentral:pre_miRNA from 1 species